rnacentral:rRNA from 1 species
GGGAUCGAAAGACCUUAUGCUUUUGGAGCGGCCGAUGUCUGAUUAGCUAGUUGGUGGGGUAAUGGCCUACCAAGGCGACGAUCAGUAGCUGGUCUGAGAGGAUGGCCAGCCACACUGGGACUGAGACACGGCCCAGACUCCUACGGGGGGCAGCAGUGGGGAAUUUUGGACAAUGGGCGCAAGCCUGAUCCAGCAAUGCCGCGUGAGUGAAGAAGGCCUUCGGGUUGUAAAGCUCUUUCAGUUGAGAAGAAAAGAACGUGAAUAAUACGCGCGUUUUAUGACGGUAUCAACAGAAGAAGCACCGGCUAACUACGUGCCAGCAGCCGCGGUAAUACGUAGGGUGCGAGCGUUAAUCGGAAUUACUGGGCGUAAAGGGUGCGCAGGCGGUUCUGAAAGUCAGAUGUGAAAUCCCUGGGCUUAACCUAGGAAUUGCGUUUGAAA